CAGUAGCCGCGGUAAUACGGAGGAUCCAAGCGUUAUCCGGAAUCAUUGGGUUUAAAGGGUCCGUAGGCGGUCUUGUAAGUCAGUGGUGAAAGCCCAUCGCUCAACAGUGGAACGGCCAUUGAUACUGCAGGACUUGAAUUAUUGGGAAGUAACUAGAAUAUGUAGUGUAGCGGUGAAAUGCUUAGAGAUUACAUGGAAUACCAAUUGCGAAGGCAGGUUACUACCAAUUGAUUGACGCUGAUGGACGAAAGCGUGGGUAGCGAACAGGAUUAGAUACCCCCGUAGUCCCUGUCUCUUAUAC
rnacentral:rRNA from 1 species